GUGAGGAAUUUUCCGCAAUGGGCGAAAGCCUGACGGAGCAAUGCCGCGUGAAGGAUGAAGGCCUAUGGGUUGUAAACUUCUUUUCUCAGAAAAGAAUUAUGACGGUAUCUGAGGAAUAAGCAUCGGCUAACUCUGUGCCAGCAGCCGCGGUAAGACAGAGGAUGCAAGCGUUAUCCGGAAUGAUUGGGCGUAAAGCGUCUGUAGGUUAUUUAAAAAGUAUUCUGUCAAAGAUUAGGGCUUAACCCUAGAUAGGCAGAAUAAACUUUUAAGCUAGAGUUUGGUAGAGGCAGAGGGAAUUCCCGGUGGAGCGGUGAAAUGCGUAGAUAUCGGGAGGAACACCAAAGGCGAAGGCACUCUGCUGGGCCAAUACUAACACUGAGAGACGAAAGCGAGGGGAGCAAAUGGGAUUAGAUACCCGGGUAGUCC
rnacentral:rRNA from 1 species